rnacentral:rRNA from 1 species
AUUGAACGCUGGCGGCAGGCCUAACACAUGCAAGUCGAGCGGAGCGGCGGACGGGCGAGUAAUGCCUAGGAAUCUGCCUGGGAGUGGGGGAUAACGUCCGGAAACGGGCGCUAAUACCGCACACGCUCAGAUGAGCCUUGGUAGGAUUAGCUAGUUGGUGUGGUAAAGGCCUACCCAGGCGACGAUCCGUAACUGGUCUGAGAGGAUGAUCAGUCACACUGGAACUGAGACCCGGUCCAGACUCCUACGGGAGGCAGCAGUGGGGAAUAUUGGACAAUGGGCGAAAGCCUGAUCCAGCCAUGCCGCGUGUGUGAAGAAGGUCUUCGGAUUGUAAAGCACUUUAAGUUGGGAGGCGUUACCAACAGAAUAAGCACCGGCUAACUUCGUGCCAGCAGCCGCGGUAAUUC